ensembl:snRNA U6 U6 spliceosomal RNA
GUGCUUGCUGUGACAGUGCAUAUACUAAAACUGAAAUGAUAUAGAGAUUAGCAUAACCCUGCAUAAGGAUGAUAUGCAAAUUUAUGCAGCUUCUUAAGUGUAA